rnacentral:rRNA from 1 species
GAUGAACGCUGGCGGCGUGCUUAACACAUGCAAGUCGAACGGAAAGGCCCAAGCUUGCUUGGGUACUCGAGUGGCGAACGGGUGAGUAACACGUGGGUGAUCUGCCCUGCACUUCGGGAUAAGCCUGGGAAACUGGGUCUAAUACCGGAUAGGACGAUGGUUUGGAUGCCAUUGUGGAAAGUUUUUUCGGUGUGGGAUGAGCUCGCGGCCUAUCAGCUUGUUGGUGGGGUGAUGGCCUACCAAGGCGUCGACGGGUAGCCGGCCUGAGAGAGUGUACGGCCACAUUGGGACUGAGAUACGGCCCAGAGUCCUACGGGAGGCAGCAGUGGGGAAUAUUGGACAAUGGGAGCAAGCGUGAUGCAGGGACGCCGCGUGGGGGAUGACGGCCUUCGGGUUGUAAACUCAUUUCGCUAGGGACGAAGCGUUUUUGUGACGGUACCUGGAGAAGAAGCACCGGCUAACUACGUG